GACUUUGUGGCACAAUCGGUUAGGGCGUUCGUCUGUUAACCGAAAAGCUCGUGGUUUGAGCCCACCCAGGGACG
rnacentral:tRNA from 1 species